rnacentral:rRNA from 1 species
GACCUCAAAUCAGGUAGGACUACCCGCUGAACUUAAGCAUAUCAAUAAGCGGAGGAAAAGAAACUAACAAGGAUUCCCCUAGUAACUGCGAGUGAAGCGGGAAAAGCUCAAAUUUAAAAUCUGGCAGUCUUUGAUUGUCCGAGUUGUAAUCUAGAGAAGCAUUAUCCGCGCUGGACCGUGUACAAGUCUCCUGGAAUGGAGCGUCAUAGAGGGUGAGAAUCCCGUCUUUGACACGGACUGCCAGGGCUUUGUGAUGUGCUCUCAAAGAGUCGAGUUGUUUGGGAAUGCAGCUCAAAAUGGGUGGUAAAUUCCAUCUAAAGCUAAAUAUUGGCGAGAGACCGAUAGCGAACAAGUACCGUGAGGGAAAGAUGAAAAGAACUUUGGAAAGAGAGUUAAACAGUACGUGAAAUUGCUGAAAGGGAAACGCUUGAAGUCAGUCGCGUUGGCCGGGAAUCAACCUUGCUUUUGCUGGGCGUACUUCCUGGUUAACGGGUCAGCAUCAAUUUUGACCGUUGGAUAAAGUUGUUGGGAAUGUGGCAUCUUCGGAUGUGUUAUAGCCCAGUUUCGUAUACAACGGUUGGGAUUGAGGAACUCAGCACGCCGCAAGGCCGGGUUUUUAACCACGUUCGUGCUUAGGAUGCUGGCAUAAUGGCUUAAAUCGACCCGUCUUGAAACACGGACUAAGGAGUCUAACAUGCCUGCGAGUGUUUGGGUGGAAAACCCGAGCGCGUAAUGAAAGUGAAAGUUGAGAUCCCUGUCGUGGGGAGCAUCGACGCCCGGACUUGAACUUUUGUGACGGAUCCGCGGUAGAGCAUGUAUGUUGGGACCCGAAAGAUGGUGAACUAUGCCUGAAUAGGGUGAAGCCAGAGGAAACUCUGGUGGAGGCUCGUAGCGAUUCUGACGUGCAAAUCGAUCGUCAAAUUUGGGUAUAGGGGCGAAAGACUAAUCGAACCAUCUAGUAGCUGGUUCC